rnacentral:rRNA from 1 species
UACGUAGGGGGCAAGCGUUGUCCGGAUUUACUGGGCGUAAAGAGCGUGUAGGCGGCCACGCAGGUCCGUUGUGAAAACUGGAGGCUCAACCUCCAGACGUCGACGGAAACCGUAUGGCUAGAGUCCGGAAGAGGAGAGUGGAAUUCCUGGUGUAGCGGUGAAAUGCGCAGAUAUCAGGAAGAACACCAAUGGCGAAGGCAGCUCUCUGGGGACGGUACUGACGCUGAGACGCGAAAGCGUGGGGAGCGAACAGG